GCCGCGCCGCCGAGGCCAGGGCGCCGCUGCGCGCGGCGGCAGAAGCGUUCGACGCCCUCGGCGCGGUGCC
rnacentral:tRNA from 1 species